AGGCAGAAGGAAGGCAGUUAGGCUGUUAGGAAGGCAGUUAGGCUGCAGUGAAUUCUACAAAGAGGCUAUGGGAAAGAAACCUGGAAAGUAGCCUUGGCUGUGUACAUUUGAGUAAAGAGAGCACUAUAAAAUCAAAAACCAGUGAAAUGGUUUCCAGAACACAGAACUAUUAAGCUUAAGAAAAGGACAGAAGGAACUGAAGAGAGAGGAACUGUUUUGGAGCAUCACACUUCCACCUCAGAAGAAAUAAGGAAGGAAGGAGGAGGGUGUUCCCACGGCUCUUCAACCAGGCCGGCUCUUCAGCCUACAUCCCCAUCUCAUCAAGUAAAAGGGAUUUUUCAACUGGACCAACCAGAUGGUUUAACAGUGCACUCCCACACCAUUCAACUACGCAAGGGAGAUACACUUAACAUAUGCAGUCGUAUAACACCUACUAACAUUUUCAAACAUUAAACCUUUAAAAAAGAGUUCUAAAGAAAUAGAAGCUUGAAGUAUCAUCUCUCAAGUAUAUAGACACUACUUCAUGGUGUGGUAAUAUAUGCAUAUAGAAGCUAGUAAACACCUCCAGGAGAUGCAAAAGGAAUUAGAACUGCCACAAGGUGCAAGCAAAACCUUGAGUCUCCAUUGAUGGUGAAGUAUUUUCACUAUUUGGCAUGUCUCCUCUAGUACCUAGAGCAGUGCGUUGCAUGCAGUAGCAGGUGUAUAAACAUUUGCGAGUAAAACAUCCAACCUGAUACUCAAGGUAAUCAAUCUGCAUCCCAUUUUGGAUGAGAAUAUUUGCAACUUUGAAGGUUAUUUUAAGGACAGCAGCAGAAGAAUUAUGGCAGAUAUGAAGACUUCAAAGUUAUUUAUCCAAACCAACCUGAUCAUUUCUUAAGAGUGAAUAUACCUUGGAAGAUGUGUCCUGCCUUUAGUAGCGUCACAAUGGAUUACAUCCUCUAUAAAGCAGUCUGGGAGGCUAACAUCUGCCACAAGACAAAUAUGGUGCCUGCCCCCGUGGAGCUCAUAUUCGAAUGGAGAAAAUGUCAACAAGUAUCCCACGGAGUGAACACUUCAAAAGGAGAAGCACAGGUGAGAAGAUCAAAUUUGGACACCGUUGAGGAGACUAUUGCAGUCAUCCAAGCUCAAGAUGGUGGAGCUUCAUCCUUGAGAAUAACCUAUGGGGAUAGAUUUAAGAGACACUUAGAGUCUGCAGCCAACAGGGCUGAAUGAGCAGAGAGUUAUGAUUCAGAAGAUCAUCUAAAAUUGAACAGCUGCCACUACUGGCAGUAAGUCUACUGCCAUUUGGUAGAUAACCUUCUUAUCACACAGAAAAAUAUCAGUACAGACAAAUAGACCGCAAAGAAAAUGAGACCAUCAGCAAAGAAGAUAAAGAAGUUUGUACAAAGCAACUUUUUAUAAAUGGAUGGCUGUCAGGCAAAAAUAAAUUUCCUGUGGACAAGACCAAGAGCAAGGCAAGAGGAAAAUAAACAUGUUUAAACUA